rnacentral:rRNA from 1 species
UGCGUAGGCGGCUGCGCGCGUGGAGGGUGAAAUCUCUCGGCUUACCCGGGAGGGGGCUUUCCAGACGGCGUGGCUUGAGGGACGGAGAGGGGCGUGGAAUUCCGGGUGGAGCGGUGAAAUGCGUAGAGAUCCGGAGGAACACCGACGGCGUAGGCAGCGCCCUGGCCGUUUCCUGACGCUGAAGCACGAAAGCUGGGGGAGGCAAAACA